rnacentral:rRNA from 1 species
AUUGAACGCUGGCGGCAUGCCUUACACAUGCAAGUCGAACGGCAGCACGGGUGCUUGCACCUGGUGGCGAGUGGCGAACAGGUGAGUAAUAUAUCGGAACGUACCUUAUUGUGGGGGAUAACGCAGCGAAAGCUGUGCUAAUACCGCAUAAUCCCUAAGGGGGAAAGCGGGGGACCGUAAGGCCUCGCGCAAUUAGAGCGGCCGAUACCUGAUUAGCUAGUUGGUGAGGUAAAGGCUCACCAAGGCAACGAUCAGUAGCUGGUCUGAGAGGACGAUCAGCCACACUGGGACUGAGACACGGCCCAGACUCCUACGGGAGGCAGCAGUGGGGAAUUUUGGGAAAUGGGGGCAACCCUGAUCCAGCAAUGCCGCGUGAGUGAAGAAGGCCUUCGGGUUGUAAAGCUCUUUUGUCAGGGAAGAAACAGCAGCUCUAACACAGUAUGCGAAUGACGGUACCUGAAGAAUAAGCACCGGCUAACUACGUGCCAGCCGCCGCCGUAA